AUUGAACGCUGGCGGCAUGCCUUACACAUGCAAGUCGAACGGCAGCACGGGUGCUUGCACCUGGUGGCGAGUGGCGAGCGGGUGAGUAAUAUAUCGGAACGUACCUUAUUGUGGGGGAUAACGCAGCGAAAGCUGUGCUAAUACCGCAUAAUCCCUAAGGGGGAAAGCGGGGGACCGUAAGGCCUCGCGCAAUUAGAGCGGCCGAUACCUGAUUAGCUAGUUGGUGAGGUAAAGGCUCACCAAGGCAACGAUCAGUAGCUGGUCUGAGAGGACGAUAAGCCACACUGUGACUGAGACACGGCCCAGACUCCUACUGGAGGCAGCAGUGGGGAAUUUUGGACAAUGGGGGCAACCCGGAUCCAGCAAUGCCGCGUGAGUGAAGAAGGCCUUCGGGUUGUAAAGCUCUUUUGUCAGGGAAGAAACAGCAGCUCUAACACAGUUUGCGAAUGACGGUACCUGAAGAAUAAGCACCGGCUAACUACGUGCCAGCCGCCGCUGUAA
rnacentral:rRNA from 1 species